rnacentral:rRNA from 1 species
UGCCUUCAGGAUGGGGACGAACAGACGGAAACGACUGCUAAUACCGAAUAAGUUCCAAGAGCCGCAUGGCCCAUGGAAGAAAAGGUGGCCUCUACCUGUAAGCUAUCGCCUGAAGAGGGGUUUGCGUCUGAUUAGCUGGUUGGAGGGGUAACGGCCCACCAAGGCGACGAUCAGUAGCCGGUCUGAGAGGAUGAACGGCCACACUGGAACUGAGACACGGUCCAGACUCCUACGGGAGGCAGCAUG